rnacentral:rRNA from 1 species
UACGAGGGGUGCAAGCGUUAUUCGGAAUUACUGGGCGUAAAGGGUGUGUAGACGGUAUUUUAAGUCUGUUGUUUAAGACCUCGGCCUAACCGAGGAAAGGCAAAAGAUACUGAAGUACUAGAGGGUGGAAGAGAGAAGUGGAAUUCUCGGAGUAGCGGUCAAAUGCGUAGAUCUCGAGAGGAACACCAAUGGCGAAGGCAGCUUCUUGGUCCAUCCCUGACGUUGAAACACGAAAGCGUGGGGAGCAAACAGG